AAAGCUACACUUUCCCCGAGUCCACACCACACUAUCCACCUGUAAUAUUUUCCUAUUCUGUCUCUUUUUUUUCCUCCAUGGCACAUUUGCGGAGAGCUGAUCUCAGAGCGGUAGUGUCUUUAAUCAGCUCUACGGGCUGUAAAGUGAGAGAAUCUAAACGUGACGUCAAUGCCUAGUAACUGACGCAGCCCUUCAACAAAAAUGGCUUUUUAUUUAUUAUUUUUUUUCUUCUUCUCGUCAGCAAAGCUUAAUUACUAAAUUUUACAGUGCUCCGUCGACUAAAAGCAAAAAGAAAAUCCCGCAGGGAGCGUCGGGUAAUCCGCGUUCAUCAGUAUUUGGACCUAUUUUGCGUUUGCAUGAGUUUUCAGCUGCUGAAGUGACACUGGGACGAGAAGCUUCUGAAGAGGGCGACAAGACAUCAGAUAUUGUCGAUGAUAUUGGCAGCGACGACGAGUUCCAGAUUUUAGUUGUUGAGGAGGGGAAAAGUAGUGUGAUUUAAGAAUGAGGAGGAGGUGGUGGUGCUGCUGCUGUUGAAGGCACAUUGGGUUCAAAAAAAAAAAAAAAAAAAAUCACUGCAAUGAUGCAACAGAGGGGAAUCGGGGCUCUUGUGCAGAGUUGGAGAGGCAAAAUUAAUUUACAUUACAUGCACUUCACGUAACGUUCCUAAGCGAUGCCUUUUGUGAGUGUUUUUUUUUCCUUCCUCGUACUGUGACCUAAAAAUAGCAACAUAGUUUUGAUCGUGCGCCAGAAAUAGACAGACGGGUAUCACUUGUAUAAAAAGGGAGGCGAUUCUGAGCAAACUUGGACGUGCCACUGUAAGCCUACAUAAUAACAAAUGGAGGUCUUAAUCUGUUGCAUUUCUUCCAGACUCUUGUUGCGGCUUCUCACUAAAAUCUCAAUCUCUCUCUUGUUUCUCUUUCUCCACUUUAGGACAAGGACGCGCCUGCACCACGCGAGGGGAACCCUUCUCUGAUGAGCGCUUACGGACGCCUUUUCCCUCCGUUUUCUUGCUUUUAAGAGGAGUCGUACUGACAGAGAAGCGGCGGUGGAGGAGGAAGAGGAGGAGAGGAGGGAGUGAAGUGAAGGAGCUGUUGCUGCAGCAGAGACCAGGCGCACCGCAUGGGGAAACCCGGGAGCUGUCCAGCAGCAAUGGAGGGAACAGUGACAACAACAAAAAACACAAAGGCAAAGAUGGAAACGAGGUGACUUGUGAGCCCGGGUGGACCCUGCUGCUGCUGCUGCUGCUGCUGCUGAUGAUGAUGAUGAUGCUGCUGCUGCUGCUGCUGAUGAUGAUGAUGCUGCUGUUGGAGCCUCCAGCUGUGCGCCGGAGACUAAAAGAGAGGGGACCCACGUUUUGGAUGUUUUCACCGAGGAGUGCACAGACAGAGAGAAAGAGAGACACCGACCCUCCUCCUCCUUCUUCUUCUACUUCUUCUUGUCCUCCCCCUCUUCCUCACCCAGAGAAAGGGGCCUGAGGUGAGGAUUGACAGAGGGGAAAUCCUGACUGACUGAAACCCAGCUGAUGAUGUCUCUCCUUCCUCCUCCUCCUCCUUCAGUUUCUCCUCUUCUCUCUCUCUACCUUUACCACCUUCGCUUUCUUCUCCCUUCUUCACCCACCCUCCCCCCUUCUCCUCCCUCUCUCCAGCCUGUUCAUCUCUUUCUCCUCCUCAUUCUCCCCGCUCUCGUGCGACAGGAUUAAGGACUUGGAGUAUGGAGUCCCACGGCCCUGAAGUGACGACAACACGUGGUGUCCUGUGGACCAGAUUGUGUUCUUGCCGUCACUGCAGGACCGAAAUGAUGAUUUUAAAAGGAGAAAAAAUGGAAACUAACAGGGUUGAUGAAGCAGAAGAAGACGGAGCAGAGAGGGACAAUAAAGGCUGUUGUUCCCGGCAGGGAGGGAGGAGGCAGCUGGACCAGCAGAGAGCUCUGAUCAGCCAACACCUUUCUUUUUUUUCCUAGUAACACCACCCGAAACCCUGAACGUCAAGCUGGUUUGAGUGGGACACACCCGCCCCCCCCUCGAGUCCUGGAAGGAUAAACAGAUAAACAGGACAAUGUGACAGCAGCCACCAUGUGAGGCAGCUACAUACGUUCACCACUGUCUGCUCAGCUGGAUGUAACACACACACACUUUUGCAGAUGCAGCUGCUGUACGGUUGCUGUCGUCGUUGGAUCAAACAGGACUGUAGCUGUUGGGCUGCAAGGACACGACCGAUACGUGAAGGUGGACUCUCAAAACGUCUGUUAGGAGUGUGUAUGUGUGUGUGUGUGUGUGUGUGUGUGUGUGUGUGUGUGUCAUAUGUGAAAUUAUUUUUAAUCUUAUCAAUAUAAGCACACUGAGGCUACUUUUGUUUCUCUAAUGUCACUUUGCUGGCUGUGUUACACCACACUGAAAUGCUGUGCAUGUGUUAUUUUAAUGUGAAAUCUGUUGGCAAAUAUCUGUGUGCAAAAAUUAGGUCCUGUAAGGUGAUAAAUAUUUAUUCAUUUUUAGAUGAAUGUAUAAUAUCGUGUGUGGAAACGUGCCAGAAUACAAAAUCACUGCUGCCAAAGUGAUUUUACUGAAGAUUAUUUAGUUAAAAAUGACAUUUUGUAAAUAUACUUUCACUCUGCACGUUGCAACAGUGAGUGAGAGACACCUGGUCAGUAACACAUUUAAUUUCAUCCCGUUUGAAAUUGUUACACAACUUGCUGCUCCUUCCUCCCGGUGUCACGUUGACUUCGAUCCCUCCACUUGUGUCAAAGAAUGCGAGCAGCUGCAUGACCGACUGUCAGCAUGUAGACACAUUUUUAUACUCUCUUCCCUCUGCUGAGUACAUGACAGCCUUUACUUUGAGCCUCACAGCCUCGGUUUGUCAGAAUUUCAUGUUUAGUUUGGGUGUGUGAGUGUCUGUGUAUGUGUGUGUGUGUGUGUGUGUGAGAGAGAGAGAGAGAGAGAGGAGGGAGACAGGAAGCAUGGCGGCACAGGGGGUGUAUUGGAGACUACAAAAUGUUGUUGCAAACAGCCUUUCUGGGUCGGAGUGAGGAGCAGAGAGCACACACUGCUGAGGAGAGAAUCGUGACAGUCGGUUGUGCUGAAGCAUCCAGCGCCUGUGAGCAUGACUGGAAAUGUUACAAAAACAGUGAAAUAAAGCGAUGGGAAUUCA